rnacentral:rRNA from 1 species
GGCGACCGGCGCACGGGUGAGUAACGCGUAUGCAACUUACCUAUCAGAGGGGGAUAACCCGGCGAAAGUCGGACUAAUACCGCAUGAAGCAGGGGCCCCGCAUGGGGAUAUUUGCUAAAGAUUCAUCGCUGAUAGAUAGGCAUGCGUUCCAUUAGGCAGUUGGCGGGGUAACGGCCCACCAAACCGACGAUGGAUAGGGGUUCUGAGAGGAAGGUCCCCCACAUUGGUACUGAGACACGGACCAAACUCCUACGGGAGGCAGCAGUGAGGAAUAUUGGUCAAUGGCCGAGAGGCUGAACCAGCCAAGUCGCGUGAGGGAUGAAGGUUCUAUGGAUCGUAAACCUCUUUUAUAAGGGAAUAAAGUGCGGGACGUGUCCCGUUUUGUAUGUACCUUAUGAAUAAGGAUCGGCUAACUCCGUGCCAGCAGCCGCGGUAAUACGGAGGAUCCGAGCGUUAUCCGGAUUUAUUGGGUUUAAAGGGUGCGUAGGCGGCCUUUUAAGUCAGCGGUGAAAGUCUGUGGCUCAACCAUAGAAUUGCCGUUGAAACUGGGGGGCUUGAGUAUGUUUGAGGCAGGCGGAAUGCGUGGUGUAGCGGUGAAAUGCAUAGAUAUCACGCAGAACCCCGAUUGCGAAGGCAGCCUGCCAAGCCAUGACUGACGCUGAUGCACGAAAGCGUGGGGAUCAAACAGGAUUAGAUACCCUGGUAGUCCACGCAGUAAACGAUGAUCACUAGCUGUUUGCGAUACAGUGUAAGCGGCACAGCGAAAGCGUUAAGUGAUCCACCUGGGGAGUACGCCGGCAACGGUGAAACUCAAAGGAAUUGACGGGGGCCCGCACAAGCGGAGGAACAUGUGGUUUAAUUCGAUGAUACGCGAGGAACCUUACCCGGGUUUGAACGCAUUCGGACCGAGGUGGAAACACCUUUUCUAGCAAUAGCCGUUUGCGAGGUGCUGCAUGGUUGUCGUCAGCUCGUGCCGUGAGGUGUCGGCUUAAGUGCCAUAACGAGCGCAACCCUUGCCACUAGUUACUAACAGGUAAAGCUGAGGACUCUGGUGGGACUGCCAGCGUAAGCUGCGAGGAAGGCGGGGAUGACGUCAAAUCAGCACGGCCCUUACAUCCGGGGCGACACACGUGUUACAAUGGCGUGGACAAAGGGAGGCCACCUGGCGACAGGGAGCGAAUCCCCAAACCACGUCUCAGUUCGGAUCGGAGUCUGCAACCCGACU